GAAUUAUCAAGAUUGUUAUUGUUUUGCUGAUUUGUAUCGUGUGAAUUAUGUUUUAGGUAACCGCUCAUGGGAGUUUCUAUCAAGAGAUUGAAUGAACGAGUUGAUGAAGACAUGCCUCUUCAUUAAAUUCAUUAACAAACUUUUUACAUCAAUCGCGGAGCAUUGCGCUGAUGCGAAAGUGAUUUACAAGUUUUUGGAGGUCAAUGAGAUUGAUAAGACACAUGCUGUCUACUACAUAGCUUAUGCUUUGCACAUGGGAGUUUAAGAAUAAGGUGAAAACUGCUAAGGAGAUCUUCAAUCUCAGAAUCUCUAGGUAAUAUUUAUUACGAAUGAAUAGACAUGUAAUCAUAUAUACUUUCAUGUUUCUGCUCCUUACAUUAUAGACCCUUAUAAAUUUACUGAUUUUCUUU